rnacentral:rRNA from 1 species
CCUACGGGAGGCAGCAGUGGGGAAUAUUGCACAAUGGGGGAAACCCUGAUGCAGCGACGCCGCGUGAGUGAAGAAGUAAUUCGUUAUGUAAAGCUCUUUCCGCAGGGAAGAAAAUGACGGUACCUGAGUAAGAAGCCCCGGCUAACUACGUGCCAGCAGCCGCGGUACUACGUAGGGGGCAAGCGUUAUCCGGAUUUACUGGGUGUAAAGGGAGCGUAGACGGCAGUGCAAGUCUGGAGUGAAAGUCUGGGGCUCAACCCCCGGACUGCCCUGGAAACUGUAGGGCUGGAGUGCAGGAGAGGCAAGUGGAAUUCCGGGUGUAGCGGUGAAAUGCGUAGAUAUUAGGAGGAACACCAGUGGCGAAGGCGGCUUACUGGACUGUAACUGACGUUGAGGCGCGAAAGCGUGGGGAGCAAACAGGAUUAGAUACCCUUGUAGUC